rnacentral:rRNA from 1 species
UAACUGAAGAGUUUGAUCAUGGCUCAGAUUGAACGCUGGCGGCAGGCUUAACACAUGCAAGUCGAGCGGGGGAAGGUAGCUUGCUACUGGACCUAGCGGCGGACGGGUGAGUAAUGCUUAGGAAUCUGCCUAUUAGUGGGGGACAACAUCUCGAAAGGGAUGCUAAUACCGCAUACGUCCUACGGGAGAAAGCAGGGGAUCUUCGGACCUUGCGCUAAUAGAUGAGCCUAAGUCGGAUUAGCUAGUUGGUGGGGUAAAGGCCUACCAAGGCGACGAUCUGUAGCGGGUCUGAGAGGAUGAUCCGCCACACUGGGACUGAGACACGGCCCAGACUCCUACGGGAGGCAGCAGU